AUGGCAAUUGUCCAUACCUACGGGAAGCCUGACAUCUUCUUGACCAUGACCUGCAACCCUAACUGGGAAGAGAUAACGAAUGAGUUGUUUCCUGGUCAGACAGCGCAAGACCGACCUGAUCUUGUGGCUCGUGUGUUCCAUGGCAAGCUAGAGGCUAUGAAAGAGAUGUUGUUCAAGAAGAAUAUCCUGGGUGUUGUUGCAAAUGUAUACGUAGUCGAGUUCCAAAAGAGGGGCCUCCCCCACGCACACUUUUUGUUGAUCAUGGAUUUUGCCUAUAAGCUUGUCGUUCUGGAGCAGUACGACCGACUCAUUUCUGCCGAGCUCCCAGACAAGCAAAAGUAUCCUGAACUCCACGCCUUGGUGGUGAAACAUAUGAUGCAUGGACCAUGCGGUGCUCUCAACCCCAAAAAUGUUUGCAUGCAACAGAACGAGUGCAAGUGCAGAUACCUGCGGUCGUUCAAUGAAAACACGGCACAGGGCAAGGACUCAUACCCUGUUUAUCGUCGUCGAGAUAAUGGUCGGCAGGCUAAGGUCCGGGGUAAAAUGUUGGACAACAGAUGGGUUGUGCCGUAUAACCCUUACCUUCUGCGGAUGUUCAAUUGCCACAUCAACGUUGAGGUUUGCUCCAGCAUAAAGGCCGUCAAAUACCUUUAG
rnacentral:rRNA from 1 species